UUUUAGCUAUCUAUGAUUGUUUGAUUGCUAACGUUAGCUCAAAACGCCAUUCAAGUGAUAGCCUUUAUUGUGUUUGAGUGCUAGCUUGUAGCCAGUAGCAGCAG